GAGUAGUCAAUCCUUCUAAAGUCUACUAAUCAUUUCUUAUUCAAAGGCUAAUUCUUUUUCAUGUAACCCACAAAUCACAAGAACCAAAGGACUUCCGUUCACACAUGUCUUUCAGCAAAUAGCCAGGGGAUGUGUGUCUUACAGAGGAAAUUAUCUGAUCUAAAGGACCACCAGAAGAAGUCAGGGCACCUGCUUCACUCCUUGGAGAACAAGAGCAAUUCCUAUAUCUACAACCCAAUGGAAUGGAAACCACUCUAUGAAAAACUAUAGUGGAAGUACUCAUUUGGCGAUUAUAAUUAAUCAGUAGUCAUUGCUGAUAGAAAUUUGCACCUGGGACAAAAGUUUGCUGCUGCUUGUGACACAUCCCAGCUUCCCUCUGCAGACAGUGUCACUAUCACAGUGACUUGAUAAUCACAUCUCAUGGGAGAGAUGAGAUCAUACAUGGUUACAUCUAUAACCCAAGUCCUGGUCACUAUUCACACUCGCCUAUGCCCAUCUCCUGAUCGCCCACAUCUCAACUCUCUUCCCCAGCAGCAGAGAUCAACCUGGUUUUCUUUUGUUAUCUGCUGUGCACUUGCCAGGUCACUUUGAAUCAAACAGCACAUCU
rnacentral:lncRNA from 1 species